UACGUAGGGAGCAAGCGUUGUCCGGAAUCAUUGGGCGUAAAGCGCGCGUAGGUGGCCACAUAAGUCCGUUGUGAAAGUCAAAGGCUACAACCUUUGAAAGCCGAUGGAUACUGUGUGGCUAGAGUACGGAAGAGGCGAGUGGAAUUCCUGGUGUAGCGGUGGAAUGCGCAGAUAUCAGGAGGAACACCAAUAGCGAAGGCAGCUCGCUGGGACGUUACUGACACUGAGGCGCGAAAGUUAGGGGAGCGAACGGG
rnacentral:rRNA from 1 species